UACGGAGGGGGCUAGCGUUGUUCGGAAUCACUGGGCGUAAAGCGCACGUAGGCGGCUUUGUAAGUUAGAGGUGAAAGCCCGGGGCUCAACUCCGGAACUGCCUUUAAGACUGCAUCGCUUGAAUCCAGGAGAGGUGAGUGGAAUUCCGAGUGUAGAGGUGAAAUUCGUAGAUAUUCGGAAGAACACCAGUGGCGAAGGCGGCCCACUGGUCCGGUACUGACGCUGAGGUGCGAAAGCGUGGGGAGCAAACAGG
rnacentral:rRNA from 1 species